rnacentral:lncRNA from 1 species
CACUGCUGCUCGACAUUUGUCACAUGUUGAACAAGAGCCUAAUCGUUUUGACCUAGCAGAGCAGCUAAUGUCACAACAAUUUCAGCAGCAGCAGCAGCAACAACAACAACGAAAUAUACUAUCUCAUUCACACUUGAAUGAAUCGCUUCUAGAACAUGUUCCAGGUCAGAAUCUUAUGCGUCAUCAGCAGAUGGUCAACCGUCCUGUGCCAGACCUGGAACAUCUUUUGGCACUUCAGCUGCAGCAACAGCGGCAGCUUCAUCUCCAAGAGCAACAGCAGCAGUUUCAUCAACAGCAAAAGCUUUUGCAGGAACGACAACAAUCCCAAGCUCGGCA